rnacentral:pre_miRNA from 1 species
UCCCUGAGACCUUAACUUGUGGUGUCUUCAGGUCCACAAGUAAGGAUCUCAGGAGCC